rnacentral:rRNA from 1 species
CUGGUUGAUUCUGCCAGUAGUCAUAUGCUUGUCUUAAAGAUUAAGCCAUGCAUGUCUAAGUAUAAGCGACUUAUACGGCGAAACUGCGAAUGGCUCAUUAAAUCAGUUAUUGUUUACUUGAUCAGUAUCUUUUGAUUACUUGGAUAACCGUAGUAAUUCUAGAGCUAAUACAUGCGCAAAAGGCCCGACUUCGCGGAAGGGCUGCACUUAUUAGAUGCAAAUCAACACGGCGGGUCCCCCCGUCGGUUAUGUUGGUGAUUCUGGAUAAUUAAGCGAAUCGCACGGUCUUGUACUGGCGAUGGAUCGAUCAAGUUUCUGCCCUAUCAACUUUGGAUGGUAGUGUAUUGGACUACCAUGGUUAUUACGGGUGACGGAGAAUUAGGGUUCGGUUCCGGAGAGGGAGCCUGAGAGACGGCUACCACUUCCAAGGAAGGCAGCAGGCGCGCAAAUUACCCAAUCCCAAUACGGGGAGGUAGUGACAAUAAAUAACAAUGCAGGCUCUCUACGAGGGCUUGUAAUUGGAAUGAGUACAGCGUAAAUAACUUAACGAGGAACAAUUGGAGGACAAGUCUGGUGCCAGCACCCGCGGUAAUUCCAGCUCCAAUAGCGUAUAUUAAAGUUGUUGCAGUUAAAAAGCUCGUAGUUGGAUCUUGAAGUUCUUUCUUGUACCGUCUCUGCCGGAAGGUAGAGGCGUAUAGGAAUCCUUCUAACUCUCGGAGGUGGCCUUCUGUUCUUAACUGGGUGGUUGGUUGCGCCGAGACGUUUACCUUGAAAAAAUUAGAGUGUUCAAAGCAGGCUACUAGCUAGCCCUGAAUAGAUUAGCAUGGGAUAAUGGAAUACGACGUUGUUCGGUUUCGUCGGUUUACGGACGGCGUAAUGAUCAAUAGGACUGAUCGGGGUUAUUCAUAUUUAAUUGUCAGAGGUGAAAUUCUUAGAUUCUUUAAAGAUGAACGAGGGCGAAAGCAUCUAACAAGGGUGCUUCCAUUGAUCAAGAACGAAAGUUAAGGGAUCGAAGACGAUCAGAUACCGUCGUAGUCUUAACCUUAAACUAUGCGGACCAAUAAUCGGGUCUCGUUAUUCGUACGACCCUCUCGGCGAUUUGUGGGAAACCACGAGUCUUUGCGUUCUGGGGGGAGUAUGGUCGCAAGGCUGAAACUUAAAGGAAUUGACGGAAGGGCACACCAGGAGUGGAGCCUGCGGCUUAAUUUGACUCAACACGGGGAAACUCACUAGGUCAAGACAUAGCAAGGAUUGACAGAUUGAUAGUUCUUUCUUAAUUUCUAUGGGUGGUGGUGCAUGGCCGUUCUUAGUUGGUGGAGUGAUUUGUCUGGUUAAUUCCGAUAACGAACGAGACCACAUCCUGUUAAAUAGUAGCGCCGAUCUUCUAAACGGGUGAAGCGAUUUGACUUCGUUUGUCCGGGAAACUGGGUGGGCGGAUUGGAUCGUGGAUCCUUGAUGCAUCGUGCGCAUUAAUAAUUUACUUCUUAAAGGGACUAUUCACGUUUAGUGACUGGAAGUGUGGCAAUAACAGGUCUGUGAUGCCCUUAGAUGUCCUAGGCCGCACGCGCGCUACACUGGCGGGCUCAGAGAGUAUAUCCUGGCUCUAACGAGUUGGGUAAUCUUAUGAACGUUCGCCGUGACGGGGAUCGAUAAUUGUAAUUAUUUGUCGUGAACGAGGAUUUCCUAGUAGGCGCAGGUCAUCAGCCUGCGCUGACUACGUCCCUGCCCUUUGUACACACCGCCCGUCGCUCCUACCGAUUGAACGGUCCGGUGAAAUCUUCGGAUUGCGUAACGGGGGCCGAAAGGUCUCUUUUGCGUGAGAAGUUGAGUAAACCUUAUCGUUUAGAGGAAGGAGAAGUCGUAACAAGGUUUCCGUAGGUGAACCUGCAGAAGGAUCA